UCAUUUUGAUUUUUGAUAUUUGAUUUUUGAUUUUGAGUGACGAGCGGCAGCGAGGCACGAUAGUGGCAAACGGGUUCAUAAUACCUUAGUACGUACCCUUAAGAUGGGCAUAGCCCCGAGAAAUCGGGGGUAAUACCCAAUAGUCCCCUGAGAUUUUUCGAAUGGGGUAAAGGAGCAAUCCACUUAAGGAUCGGCUUAGGUCCUAUCAGCUAGUUGGUGAGGUAAUGGCUUACCAAGGCGAUGACGGGUAGGGGGUGUGAGAGCAUGACCCCCAACAAUGGUACUGAGAACGGACCCUACUCCUACGGGAGGCAGUAGCCGAGAAUCUUCGGCAAUGGGCGAAAGCCUGACCGAGCGACGCCGCGUGUGGGAAGAAGGUCUUCGGAUUGUAAACCACUUUUCUCGCUGAGAAAUUCCGGUUUUACCGGAGUGAUGUUAGGCGAGGAAUAAGGAGCUGCAAACUACGUGCCAGCAGCCGCGGUAAUACGUAGGCUCCAAGCGUUAUCCGGAUUUAUUGGGCGUAAAGUGUCCUUAGGCGCCUCAUUUCUUUUAGAAGCUGGGUAUUUAAUUUAUUAAAUACUUGGUCAAGUCCUAUGUUAAAUUCUCUGGCUCAACCAGAGACUCGCAUGGGAUACUGAUGAGGUAGAGGGAGAAAAGGGUUGGCGGAACGCACGGUGUAGGGGUGAAAUCCGUUGAUAUCGUGCGGAACACCGAAAGCGAAGGCAGCCAACUUGGUCUUUCCUGACGCUCUAAGACGAAAGCGUGGGCAGAAAAAAGGAUUAGAUAAAUCCUUGUUCCGACAAAAAAAAUCGGAACGAAUGGUGUCCCUUCUAAUGGUGACAUUAGAAUGCGCAUCUAGCUAUAUCGGGGAAACCCUUAUCGAGGGUAAUCCCGAGGGAAGUCAACCCGCAAUAGCGGGAUUGACCCCGUAGAGACUAUGUAAAUUAAUAAAGAUAGAAAAUGAUUAAAUCAUUUUUGUCAGAGCAGUGCAAAGAAGUUAUUUUAGGUUCUUUACUUGGCGAUGGAUCAUUAAGAAUUCAUCAUCAGUACAAGAAUGCUCGUUUCUCAUUUCGUCAUUCGGUUAAACAAAAAGAAUAUUUUUUCUGGAAAAUAAAACAAUUAAAAGAAAUUUCUGGAGAAAAAUGUUGGUGGAUUCAGAGCA
rnacentral:rRNA from 1 species